rnacentral:rRNA from 1 species
CUGCAAGCUUGCUUGCGGGUGAGAGUGGCGAACGGGUGAGUAAUGCGUGACCAACCUGCCCCAUGCUCCGGAAUAGCUCCUGGAAACGGGUGGUAAUGCCGGAUGUGCCGGGCUCCUGCAUGGGGGUCCGGGAAAGCUCUGGCGGCGUGGGAUGGGGUCGCGUCCUAUCAGCUUGUUGGCGGGGUGAGGGCCCACCAAGGCUUCGACGGGUAGCCGGCCUGAGAGGGCGACCGGCCACAUUGGGACUGAGAUACGGCCCAGACUCCUACGGGAGGCAGCAGUGGGGAAUAUUGCACAAUGGGCGCAAGCCUGAUGCAGCGACGCCGCGUGCGGGAUGGAGGCCUUCGGGUUGUAAACCGCUUUUGUUUGGGAGCAAGCCCUUCGGGGUGAGUGUACCUUUCGAAUAAGCACCGGCUAACUACGUGCCAGCAGCCGCGGUAAUACGUAGGGUGCGAGCGUUAUCCGGAUUUAUUGGGCGUAAAGGGCUCGUAGGCGGUUCGUCGCGUCCGGUGUGAAAGUCCAUCGCCUAACGGUGGAUCUGCGCCGGGUACGGGCGGGCUGGAGUGCGGUAGGGGAGACUGGAAUUCCCGGUGUAACGGUGGAAUGUGUAGAUAUCGGGAAGAACACCAAUGGCGAAGGCAGGUCUCUGGGCCGUUACUGACGCUGAGGAGCGAAAGCGUGGGGAGCGAACAGGAUUAGAUACCCUGGUAGUCCACGCCGUAAACGGUGGAUGCUGGAUGUGGGGCCCUUCCACGGGUCCCGUGUCGGAGCCAACGCGUUAAGCAUCCCGCCUGGGGAGUACGGCCGCAAGGCUAAAACUCAAAGAAAUUGACGGGGGCCCGCACAAGCGGCGGA